rnacentral:lncRNA from 1 species
GCGGAAUGUGGCUGUCACCUAGGAGUACGUAGCUCGCUUGGUCGCAUGCCAUGAGACAUGAGCGGCGCGUGGUACGGUGGUUGCAGGUGAGCACGAGCGGCGGGUCGCGGAAGGCGCCGACGGAGGCGAAGCUCAAGGUGGCGAUCAACGGGUUCGGGCGCAUCGGGCGCAACUUCCUGCGGUGCUGGCACGGGCGCGGCGACAGCUCGCCGCUGGAGGUGAUCGCCAUCAACGACACCGGAGGCGUGAAGCAGGCGUCCCACCUCCUCAAGUACGACUCCACGCUGGGCAUCUUCGACGCGGACGUCAAGCCCGUGGGCGACAACGCCAUCUCCGUCGACGGCAAGGUGAUCAAGGUCGUGUCCGACCGCAACCCCUCCAACCUGCCGUGGGGCGAGAUGGGCAUCGACCUCGUCAUCGAGGGCACCGGCGUCUUCGUCGACCGCGCCGGCGCGGGCAAGCAUCUCGAGGCCGGAGCCAAGAAGGUGCUCAUCACCGCGCCCGGCAAGGGCGACAUCCCCACCUACGUCUGCGGCGUCAACGCCGACCUCUACACCCACGCCGACACCAUCAUCAGCAACGCCUCAUGCACCACCAACUGCCUCGCCCCCUUCGUCAAGGUCCUCGACCAAAAGUUCGGUACGUGCCCGUCUCCCUCCCUCUCUCUCUCUCUCAACUGAAUCAACUUGUUGACGAUGACUAAUGGCGGCGGUGGCAAUGGCGCAGGC